AUGUGUGUGAGGAGCGAACCAGUGAGGGUACCGAGACGAAACACGGCCAGUCGUCGGUACCCUUUCUG
rfam:Leptolyngbya sp. Heron Island J, whole genome shotgun sequence.